CUCCGGGAGGCAGCCGUGGGGAAUAUUGCACCAUGGGCGCAAGCCUGCUGCCGCCAUGCCGCGUGUGUGAAGAAGGCCUUCGGGUUGUAAAGCACUUUCAGCGGGGAGGAAGGCGGUGAGGUUAAUAACCUCAUCGAUUGACGUUACCCGCAGAAGAAGCACCGGCUAACUCCGUGCCAGCAGCCGCGGUAAUACGGAGGGUGCAAGCGUUAAUCGGAAUUACCGGGCGUAAAGCGCACGCAGGCGGUCUGUCAAGUCGGAUGUGAAAUCCCCGGGCUCAACCUGGGAACUGCAUUCGAAACUGGCAGGCUAGAGUCUUGUAGAGGGGAGUAGAAUUCCAGGUGUAGCGGUGAAAUGCGUAGAGAUCUGGAGGAAUACCGGUGGCGAAGGCGGCCCCCUGGACAAAGACUGACGCUCAGGUGCGAAAGCGUGGGGAGCAAACAGGAUUAGAUACCCUUGUAGUC
rnacentral:rRNA from 1 species